AACGCGAAGAACCUUACCUGGGUUUGACAUGCACAGGACGCCGGCAGAGAUGUCGGUUCCCUUGUGGCCUGUGUGCAGGUGGUGCAUGGCUGUCGUCAGCUCGUGUCGUGAGAUGUUGGGUUAAGUCCCGCAACGAGCGCAACCCUUAUUUCAUGUUGCCAGCGGGUAAUGCCGGGGACUCGUGAGAGACUGCCGGGGUCAACUCGGAGGAAGGUGGGGAUGACGUCAAGUCAUCAUGCCCCUUAUGUCCAGGGCUUCACACAUGCUACAAUGGCCGGUACAAAGGGCUGCGAUGCCGCAAGGUUAAGCGAAUCCUUUUAAAGCCGGUCUCAGUUCGGAUCGGGGUCUGCAACUCGACCCCGUGAAGUCGGAGUCGCUAGUAAUCGCAGAUCAGCAACGCUGCGGUGAAUACGUUCCCGGGCCUUGUA
rnacentral:rRNA from 1 species